CAGUAGCCGCGGGAAUACGUAGGGUGCAAGCGUUAAUCGGAAUUACUGGGCGUAAAGCGUGCGCAGGCGGUUCGGAAAGAAAGGUGUGAAAUCCCAGGGCUUAACCUUGGAACUGCACUUUUAACUACCGGGCUAGAGUGUGUCAGAGGGGGGUGGAAUUCCGCGUGUAGCAGUGAAAUGCGUAGAGAUGCGGAGGAACACCGAUGGCGAAGGCAGCCCCCUGGGAUAACACUGACGCUCAUGCACGAAAGCGUGGGGAGCAAACAGGAUUAGAUACCCCUGUAGUCCCUGUCUCUUAUAC
rnacentral:rRNA from 1 species